GAAGUGCGAAUGCUGACAUAAGUAACGAUAAAGCGGGUGAAAAGCCCGCUCGCCGGAAGACCAAGGGUUCCUGUCCAACGUUAAUCGGGGCAGGGUGAGUCGACCCCUAAGGCGAGGCCGAAAGGCGUAGUCGAUGGGAAACAGGUUAAUAUUCCUGUACUUGGUGUUACUGCGAAGGGGGGACGGAGAAGGCUAUGUUGGCCGGGCGACGGUUGUCCCGGUUUAAGCGUGUAGGCUGGUUUUCCAGGCAAAUCCGGAAAAUCAAGGCUGAGGCGUGAUGACGAGGCACUACGGUGCUGAAGCAACAAAUGCCCUGCUUCCAGGAAAAGCCUCUAAGCAUCAGGUAACAUCAAAUCGUACCCCAAACCGACACAGGUGGUCAGGUAGAGAAUACCAAGGCGCUUGAGAGAACUCGGGUGAAGGAACUAGGCAAAAUGGUGCCGUAACUUCGGGAGAAGGCACGCUGAUAUGUAGGUGAAGUCCCUUGCGGAUGGAGCUGAAAUCAGUCGAAGAUACCAGCUGGCUGCAACUGUUUAUUAAAAACACAGCACUGUGCAAACACGAAAGUGGACGUAUACGGUGUGACGCCUGCCCGGUGCCGGAAGGUUAAUUGAUGGGGUCAGCGCAAGCGAAGCUCUUGAUCGAAGCCCCGGUAAACGGCGGCCGUAACUAUAACGGUCCUAAGGUAGCGAAAUUCCUUGUCGGGUAAGUUCCGACCUGCACGAAUGGCGUAAUGAUGGCCAGGCUGUCUCCACCCGAGACUCAGUGAAAUUGAACUCGCUGUGAAGAUGCAGUGUACCCGCGGCAAGACGGAAAGACCCCGUGAACCUUUACUAUAGCUUGACACUGAACAUUGAGCCUUGAUGUGUAGGAUAGGUGGGAGGCUUUGAAGUGUGGACGCCAGUCUGCAUGGAGCCGGCCUUGAAAUACCACCCUUUAAUGUUUGAUGUUCUAACGUGGACCCGUGAUCCGGGUUGCGGACAGUGUCUGGUGGGUAGUUUGACUGGGGCGGUCUCCUCCUAAAGAGUAACGGAGGAGCACGAAGGUUGGCUAAUCCUGGUCGGACAUCAGGAGGUUAGUGCAAUGGCAUAAGCCAGCUUGACUGCGAGCGUGACGGCGCGAGCAGGUGCGAAAGCAGGUCAUAGUGAUCCGGUGGUUCUGAAUGGAAGGGCCAUCGCUCAACGGAUAAAAGGUACUCCGGGGAUAACAGGCUGAUACCGCCCAAGAGUUCAUAUCGACGGCGGUGUUUGGCACCUCGAUGUCGGCUCAUCACAUCCUGGGGCUGAAGUAGGUCCCAAGGGUAUGGCUGUUCGCCAUUUAAAGUGGUACGCGAGCUGGGUUUAGAACGUCGUGAGACAGUUCGGUCCCUAUCUGCCGUGGGCGCUGGAGAACUGAGGGGGGCUGCUCCUAGUACGAGAGGACCGGAGUGGACGCAUCACUGGUGUUCGGGUUGUCAUGCCAAUGGCACUGCCCGGUAGCUAAAUGCGGAAGAGAUAAGUGCUGAAAGCAUCUAAGCACGAAACUUGCCCCGAGAUGAGUUCUCCCUGACCCUUUAAGGGUCCUGAAGGAACGUUGAAGACGACGACGUUGAUAGGCCGGGUGUGUAAGCGCAGCGAUGCGUUGAGCUAACCGGUACUAAUGAACCGUGAGGCUUAACCUU
rnacentral:rRNA from 1 species